rnacentral:snoRNA from 1 species
UGCCAUUAUUAUUCAGCAGAGACACACAACUCACUCUGUGUCUAAAUUGAAUAAUGUGGCUAGAAGAGUAACAGGUUGUGCUUUCCUCACUGUACAAUUAAUUGCAGUGGUGACAAUGAGACCUGUAACAGGU